rnacentral:rRNA from 1 species
CCUACGGGUGGCUGCAGUGGGGAAUAUUGCGCAAUGGGGGGAACCCUGACGCAGCAACGCCGCGUGAAUGAAGAAGGCUUUCGAGUCGUAAAAUUCUGUCCUCAGGGAAGAAGAAGUGACGGUACCUGAGGAGGAAGCCCCGGCUAACUACGUGCCAGCAGCCGCGGUAAUACGUAGGUGGCAAGCGUUGUCCGGAUUUACUGGGUGUAAAGGGCGCGUAGGCGGGAAUGCAAGUCAGAUGUGAAAUCCAUGGGCUCAACCCAUGAACUGCAUUUGAAACUGUGUUUCUUGAGUGAUGGAGAGGCAGGCGGAAUUCCUAGUGUAGCGGUGAAAUGCGUAGAUAUUAGGAGGAACACCAGUGGCGAAGGCGGCCUACUGGGCUUUAACUGACGCUGAGGCUCGAAAGUGUGGGGAGCAAACAGGAUUAGAUACCCGAGUAG